GCCUGGGUGGCUCAAUGGGUUGAGCACCCGACUUUGGCUGGGGUCAUGAUCUCGCAGUUCGUGGGUUCGAGCCCCGUGUCAGGCU
rnacentral:tRNA from 1 species